CAAAGUAUCCUAGUUUCCACUCGAAAAAGCAAACAGCGAUCAAGUUCUACACUGUGGAGAAGUACACGGUUUCUGUUUUUAGCCAUUGGCAUUAAUUGGAACGACCAUGAUUAGCGGAGCUACUACUCCUUUGCUUCACACCGAAGUGUAAGCAGACACCACCCACACAUGUCCCGCCCGUAAGCAGUGCCACUUAGAUUUGGAGCAGGGGACCAAAUUGAACGACCACCAUGUCCACCAAGUACAGAGGGAGUACUUGGUAGUAGUUGGUACUACGUCCCUCCCGUCUCGUACGGUGUCACCUGCGCUUGACUUGUCCACGUGCAUGUGCCACAUCGCGGACGAUUUCUCCUUUUAACAUAGUUUAGCCCAAACUAACCUCCGUUGUAAAAAAAAUAAAAAAAAUCUGUCCCUUUUCCUACUUGUGACGGUAGGCGUACACACUCUACCAUCAUCUAUUACGGCGGUAGCCACUUAUCCACGUCAACAUGAUUAGAUGAAGUCAUCCACGUUGAUCUAAACAUAUUGUCACAGAAAGUGACGGUAGGGUGUGUAUGCCUACCGACACAGAGGAUAACGGUAGGAAAAAAAAUUAGAUUCAUUUUUUUUUCACAAACGGAUCAAACCAGGCUAAAAAUACCAAAAUGGUCAAAACAGUGAAUUUGUCCCCACCAAACCGCUACAGCAACUGUUGACCUACACGGUGCCGUCCGUUGCCUGUGUACGCAUCCUCGCGCAGGUUUCCGGCUGUGUUCAUCUUUGCGCCGCUCGCCUCCAAGGCAUCAGUCCAUUCAGCAAACGGAAAUCUUGUGCCUGCUGGCCCGGGGUUUCCCCGGAAGGUAUGGCGGGCAGCGUGCGUGGACGGCGACGUUCGGGUGGCGACCGGCGUGUCUGCUUCGCCGAGGCCGGCGUCUCCGGUCCGCAGCCGAGGGUUUCUCGAGAGGGAUGUGUGGUAAGGUGAUGCCCCGGGCCGAGCCGGAUGGAUCAGAGCAUAUCCAUUCCUUGCAACCUACACGCUCUGGAUAGAUAGAUAGAUCGACGCACGAACGCACAGAUGGCGUGGCCAAGUAUCCUCCUAGAUAUCCUACUCCACC
rnacentral:lncRNA from 1 species